GGACCACCCUGCUGUCACCACUCCUGGAUGCCUCCAGGCUGUAUAAGUAAGUGGAGGAGGUCUUGCUGUUGGGAUCUGUUGUGGAGGUCUGUGCAGAGAAACCACCCAAUGAGGGCAAUUGACUCCACCACUUCUGGUCCCUGGGAAAAAAAAGUUCAACCGCCUGAAAGGAGAUGUCACUUUUUACCCAAGCACCCAGAGCAAAGGAGCUCCUCACUUACUUGAAUGCAGAUGAAGCAAUCUUUAUUCCUGGAGGUAUGAAGCCCACUGAUGUCACUUCCAUCUCGGCCCCGAAGGUUCCACAAUUUCUGCCCAUCGGGAUUUUUAAAGAAUUGGGUUACCAUAAGUUUAAAUUCAAUGUAAUUUGGAGAAUGAAGAGCACUGAGCUCCACAAGAUAGAAGCACCCACAGAGCCUGAGAAGACAGUCACCUAUUGAUGCACAGCACCCACCAUAAUUCAUUGAGAACUUUUGUUUUCUUUUCCCCAAUUUUUAAUCUGAGAUGAAGGUAAAGGGGGUACAACUGAAAGGAAGGCCAAAGAAGAUUAAGUGGUAUCAAAUGAUAU